GCUGGGUGUGGUGGUGCACACCUGUAGUCCCAGCUACUUGGGAGGCUGAGGUGGGAGGAUCCUUGAGACCAGGGAGGUCAAGGCUGCAGUGAGCUGUGAUUGUGCCACUGCACUCCUGCCUGGGUGACAGAGUGAGACCCUGUCUCUA
rnacentral:sRNA from 1 species